rnacentral:lncRNA from 1 species
CCGCGGAGGGCCGAUGCCACGGGAGCACGGGGUCGGGCCACCGCGUUCCCGCUGCAUACCCAGCCGGGCGCCGCGCUGCGGUCCGAGCCAGCGGGGAGAGGGCGGCGGCCGCGCCGUGGAACCCCUGCUUGCUCUGGUAACUUAGAAGAUGAUAAUUAAUGUGGUUGCUGAUAAUUCUGAAUAAAUACAGCUUUUAUCCCAGGUGUGCCAUUUUGAAGACUGAGACCAUAGAGUUCUAAGAAUAAAGGAAAGAGCCCUUGGGAAAUUAUUAUAUAUAGCAAAAAUGUGAAUCCUCAGAUGGAAUGAAAGGCCUGCACCAUAGACAUCGAAGCAUUUAGUAAGUCUUUACUUGUUGGGUUUAUUUUUUAAUUUUAUGUGU